UUGGGAGCUCUCCCAUAUGGUCGACCUGCAGGCGGCCGCGAAUUCACUAGUGAUUCGUAUUACCGCGGCUGCUGGCACAGAGUUAGCCGGUGCUUAUUCUGCGAGUAACGUCCACUCACUUUAGGUAUUAACUAAAGGAGCCUCCUCCUCGCUUAAAGUGCUUUACAACCAAAAGGCCUUCUUCACACACGCGGCAUGGCUGGAUCAGGCUUCCGCCCAUUGUCCAAUAUUCCCCACUGCUGCCUCCCGUAGGAGUCUGGGCCGUGUCUCAGUCCCAGUGUGGCGGAUCAUCCUCUCAGACCCGCUACAGAUCGUCGCCUUGGUAGGCCUUUACCCCACCAACUAGCUAAUCCGACUUAGGCUCAUCUAUUAGCGCAAGGUCCGAAGAUCCCCUGCUUUCCCCCGUAGGGCGUAUGCGGUAUUAGCGUUCCUUUCGGAACGUUGUCCCCCACUAAUAGGCAGAUUCCUAAGCAUUACUCACCCGUCCGCCGCUAGGUUAGUUACCGAAGCAACCUUCCCCGCUCGACUUGCAUGUGUUAAGCCUGCCGCCAGCGUUCAAUCUGAGCCAGGAUCAAACUCUAAUCGAAUUCCCGCGGCCGCCAUGGCGGCCGGGAGCAUGCGAC
rnacentral:rRNA from 1 species